ensembl:lncRNA
UGGAUGAUGAAAAAGAGGAAGAAGAAAAGCAGAUCGCAGAAAAAGCUGUGUCAGAGGACCAGCUAUCUGAUGAGGAUGAGUCCAUGGUGGAGCAGGCGUCAUCAGGAGAAGCCUUUAUGUUCACAUCAGAAAUGACAGGUCUAGUUGAAUUCACUUCUGCAGAAGAAGAGAUUAUAGAUCUACUUGACACAGACCAGCCAACUGAGAAAACCAUCAUAGAUCUACUUGAUACUGAUCAGAUAGUCGAGGAAGACUCAGAGCAAAUUCCACAGGAGGAAGUAGUGUCAAAAUGGCAGGAAGUUGAGCUAACAGUGCUUCCAGUCCCAGACAGUCAACAGGAAGAGGGUAUUACAGAAAAAGUGAUGGUAGAAUCAGCAGAAUUAUUAAAUCAGAUGACAGUGGAUUAUGUCACUAAUAGCCAAGAGGAGUGUAUAACAGAGGAAGAGGUGAUGUCAAUGCUCCAGUUAGAUCAGUUCACAUUAGAUAGACACUCAGAUAAGCAGGAAGAGGAGGCAGAAGCACCUGGGGAGGUUUUCUUAGAAUCAGAAUUGCUAAGACCAGGUUACAGUGUCCUUCAUGGCCAGGAGACUAGUCCUGAGGACAACCUGGUGUCAGAAGAAGAGGAGAGAGAGGUGGAGGGAGAGGUGGAAGGAGAUUUGGGGAGAGCGGUGGAGGAAGAUGUGGAGGUGGAGGGAGAGAUGGAGGGAGAAGAGGAGAGAGAGGUGGAAGGAGAUUUGGGGAGAGCGGUGGAGGAAGAUGUGGAGGGAGAGAUGGAGGGAGAAGAGGAGAGAGAGGUGGAAGGAGAUUUGGGGAGAGCGGUGGAGGAAGAUGUGGAGGUGGAGGGAGAGAUGGAGGAAAAAGAGGAGAGAGAGGUGGAGGGAGAGGUGGAAGGAGAUUUGGGGAGAGCGGUGGAGGAAGAGGUGGGGGUGGAGGGAGAGAUGGAGGAAGAAGAGGAGAGAGAGGUGGAGGGAGAGGUGGAGGAAGAAGAGGAGAGAGAGGUGGAGGGAGAUUUGGAGGUGGAGGGAGAGAUGGAGGAAGAAGAGGAGAGAGAGGUGGAGGGAGAAUUGGAGGUGGAGGGAGAGAUGGAGGAAGAAGAGGAGAGAGAGGUGGAGGGAGAUUUGGAGGUGGAGGGAGAGAUGGAGGAAGAAGAGGAGAGAGAGGUGGAGGGAGAAUUGGAGGUGGAGGGAGAGAUGGAGGAAGAAGAGGAGAGAGAGGUGGAUGGAGAGGUGGAAGGAGAAGAGCAGGAAGCGAUAGAAACAAUGGUGGAGGGAGAGAUGGAGGGAGACAUGGAGGGAGAGAUAGAGGAGGAAGUGGAGGGAGAGAAGGAGGAGGAAGUGGAGGGAGAGAUGGAGGGAGAAGUGGAGGGAGAAUCAGAGAGAGAGUUGGAGGAAGAAGAGCAGGAAGCGAUAGAAACAAAUGUGGGGGGAGAAAUGGAAGACAUGGAGAGCGAGGUGGAAAAAGAGAUGAAGGGAGAGGUGGAGUCUUCUGAGGAACCAGAGGAGAAUACCUCUGUGGUACAGAGUGAAACAUUAGAAGAGUCAGCUCCAGAUAGAGAGGACACUGAGGUGGUUGUGGAGACCGAGACAGAAGGAUGGAGUGAAGCACUAGACUCUGAGAACAAUAUACAUGGCCAGGUCCCAACAGCAGUUACUCCAUAUGUAGAAGCAACUGGUGAGGUAAAGCUAUCUGCGGAAAAGAUGACAGAAAGUCUGGUCACCUCUCAAAUUGCUGACGAAGAAGAAACAGAGGACAGUGAGAAUGUAGCAGAUGAGGUGGAGUAUGGAGGCUCGGUUGCUGUGGAGAGAGUAAAGAAAGUAGAGGCUUCGUCAACCACAAAGUCAGUAGGCCAAGCGGAGUCAGAGAAAGAAGUACCUCUACUUGUUUCCACAGACUGGGUGGCAGAAACACAGAGGUUACAUUCCAGUUCACUGUAUGAAUUUGAAUCAAGUCCACAGCUUGUUGAGUCUAGUUCAUAUGUUGUGCAGACUGAGUCUCUGGGCUAUGAGCAAGAGCAGGGUUCUGAUUUGCCAUAUCUGGGUGACCGCUCAGUAUUCCAGAAUCUAGAGGACGUGAACAACCUUAGUGUGGCAUCAGAGGAAGAGGAAAGUCACCUGGUCACAGAGGUUUCCUCAAAGGGGAAGGUGGCAACAGAGUCAGCUUGCACCACGCAGGCAGAGGGCGAGUCAGGAAGUCAGUGUCAGGUCCAGGCUGAAGGGACAGGUGAGAUAACAAACAAGGCUACAAUCGAGGUAGUAAGUCAGGAUUUAGGCAAGGCUUUGACAGGCGAGCUGGACAUAUGUGGGGCAACAGGUCAGAUAGCUGCAGGUCAUGGCCAGGCUGUUUUUGAAGUUGCAGGUGAGACUGAAGAUGAGGCCACACAGGCUUCGGGUGAGUUGGAACAAGUCCCAAAGUCCUUUGCUUCAUCUUUACGUAGGAAACUCAGGAAGGGCUCCAAAAAAGAACCCACUCCCAAGAGUCCCACACUGAAGUGCAAACAACAAUGAGAGCUGCACAUUCAGACAUAAGGUGUUUUUGUAUAUAUAUGUUUUUCUGUUCAUUGGUUUUUUAUGGAUUUGUUCAGCUUUACAUGUUUGUAUUAAUAAGUUAGAGGUUUGUCAAUCGUGAUUUAACUUUUUUGUGGUAUGUGGUCUUAAUUCAGCCAUAGCUCUCGAACACACCUACAGCGUCAUUGCAUUUUGAUACAGUGCAAUUAAUUGUCAUGCAGCAUUUCGUUGCAGAGGGUUCUGAAUGCAUCAAAUAUGAAGCGGAAUAGGCUGGGCGGAAUCGGUCAGCGGUUGUAUGUUGGGUUUUUGAAACACACAUACCCAGAUGAUGCAUACAUGUGUGGAUGUAGGUGUGAUCCGGGCAUUAAUACAAAGCAAAUGGGUGUUGGCUAUAUUAAAAUAAUAAACUAUAUUUGAUUUAGAAAUGUUAGAGGUUUGGUUCCUUGCUAAUUAAUAAUGGUCAGUGCUCUUUGUAGUCAUUCUAGCUAUGUGAUGAUGUGUCCCAAACUUUUUAUUUUUUCCUUAUAGUGGACUAGGAAUACUUUCUUGUCAAAUGUAGGGUGGUUAAAGUGUCCUCAUGGUUAAGGCAUAAUUUUUUACUUAUGUGAUUGGGCAAUGGCAGGACGGAGGUGGGGCUGGUUUCUGAGACAGCGGGUCCCUUUGUGUAGCAUGUCCAUACCCGUCACCAUCUCUGGUAGCUAUCAGGCAAGAGGGUCCAAGACUAUAGCUAAUGACAACCUGUGAAGCUAGUGUCUACAAUCUAGCUUGCUAGCCCGUUAGCAACAGAGCAGUAACGGUCUGGCGAGUGUGUCCAGUUGUUCCUCAGAAGCAAACAUUUCUGUGCAUGAAAUGCAAGCGCUAGAGCUUGAACUGCUUUUACUGCGAAAGAGGUGAAGAACAACAAAAAAACAACUGAGAAGAUAGGACGUUCAUCUCUUGUCCUGCCUAUGCGAACAGGAAAAACAUUCAAAAUGUUUCCAGAUCUGCUGCAGAAAGAAGCAAAGCUAGCACAAAGCUUGGAUUCUCAAUAAUUACUGCAAUCAUCACGGAGGUGUGCAGCUGGCAUGUCCUGAAGUAGGAGUUUGUUGACUGUACCUUAAUUGAAAAACAGGACAAAAUUUGGGAGAGUUUGUGGAAGACGAGGCACUCCCUCUGACAGUAAACCUGAUGCAACCAUAUGCAGAGAGCUGCCUUUGGACCCAUGCUGCAAGAUGGAGGGUUCUGGGAUGAGCCCUUGAAGUUGAGCCAGAGAAAGGAGAGAGCAUUUUGAAGGCCUGCGUGCCUUUGUACCACUGAGAACUGCCAACAGAGUUAUCAACACAGUUCACCCACCCCACACUGGUCAGCCACCCCACACUGGUCAGCCACCCCACACAGGACACCCACCCCACACUGGUCAGCCCCCCCACACAGGACACCCACCCCACACUGGUCAGCCACCCCACAUUGGUCAGCCACCCCACACUGGACACCCACCCCACACUGGUCAGCCACCCCACACUGGACACCCAUCCCACACUGGUCACCCACCCCACACUGGUAACCCACCCCACACUGGUCAGCCACCCCACACUGGACACCCAUCCCACACUGGUCACCCACUCCUGAUGGGAACGCGUGGCCAGGAGAGUGGAGACAGGAGUUGUAAGGGGACACCAUCUGGCACAUGUUCUCCUUUUCUGGGUGAAAACUGUUUAUGAGUUGCACUCUUUAAAGACCCCAAUAAAG